UACGAAGGGUGCAAGCGUUACUCGGAAUUACUGGGCGUAAAGCGUGCGUAGGUGGUUUGUUAAGUCUGAUGUGAAAGCCCCGGGCUCAACCCGGGAAGUGCACUCGAUACUGCCAAGCUAGAGUAUCGGAGAGGUUGGUGGAAUUCUCGGUGUAGAGGUGAAAUUCGUAGAUAUCGAGAGGAACACCGGUGGCGAAGGCGGCCAACUGGACGAAUACUGACGCUGAGGUGCGAAAGCGUGGGGAGCAAACAGG
rnacentral:rRNA from 1 species